rnacentral:rRNA from 1 species
UACGUAGGGUGCGAGCGUUAAUCGGAAUUACUGGGCGUAGAGCGUGCGCAGGCGGUUUUGUAAGUCAGAUGUGAAAUCCCCGGGCUCAACCUGGGAACUGCGUUUGAAACUACAAGGCUAGAGUGUGGCAGAGGGGGGUGGAAUUCCACGUGUAGCAGUGAAAUGCGUAGAGAUGUGGAGGAACACCGAUGGCGAAGGCAGCCCCCUGGGUUAACACUGACGCUCAGGCACGAAAGCGUGGGGAGCAAACAGG